AGUGUUAUUAGUGUUUGUAUUGUGUAGGAUUAUGAUGCUAAGCGUUCUGAAACACACUAAAAAUCCAGUCAAGUUUUGGUUCCUGAAAAACUAUCUCUCACCACAAUUCAAAGAUUUCAUUCCCAGGAUGGCUGAGAGGUAUGGGUUUGAGUAUGAGCUGGUACAGUACAAGUGGCCACGCUGGCUUCAUGGACAAACUGAAAAACAAAAAUUAAUCUGGGCGUGGUUCGUACUGAUAUGAAGGAGUUGUUGGAGGAGCCAUUGGAUGGAGCACCUUAUGGAUACACUCCUUUCUGUGAUAGUCGUACUGAUAUGGAUGGAUUCAAGUAAUUAAUGAUAUGUAUGUAAAUGGACAGAUUUUGUC
rnacentral:misc_RNA from 1 species